UUUUUUUUUUUUAGUAAUUUAAUGUGUGUCAAAAUUGAGGUUUGAGUUUUUAAGAAGGUAUUAAACACUCCAGGUCAGAGUCAUGCUGAAGUUUAGCAAUAUUUUCUUAUCUUGUGUUGGUAUGAAUUCAGUGUAUUUGAAAGCUGUCCUUUCAUUGAUUUUGGAGGAUUUUUAAAUGGGUUGGAGAUCCAAUACUGACACUUAAUACAGGGUUUUACAGAAGAAUUAUUAUUUUUCUUGAUUUAUUAUGCUUUAAAUUGUAUUCAUAUUACUAUGUAGCUAUACUUCCAUGUAGCUAUUUGCCGUACAGAAUUGUAGGAGAUUUUUAAUGUUUGAUGUUUGAAUAGUAGAAUCCUCAAAUAGUAAGUAUGUUUUUUUGUAGCAGACUGACAUCCUCCAGAUGGGGUUGACUUAGGUCUAGCCACAGAAAUGUUUUUUGUGGUGGCAUAUUUGUCGCAUGUUAAAAGUUAACUCAGA
rnacentral:lncRNA from 1 species